rnacentral:rRNA from 1 species
GAUGAACGCUGGCGGCGUGCCUAAUACAUGCAAGUCGAGCGAACAGAUGAGGAGCUUGCUCCUCUGACGUUAGCGGCGGACGGGUGAGUAACACGUGGAUAACCUACCUAUAUGACUGGGAUAACUUCGGGAAACCGGAGCUAAUACUGGAUAAUCUAUUGAACCGCAUGGUUCAAUAGUGAAAGACGAUUUUGCUGUCACUUAUAGAUGUAUCCGCGCGGCAUUAGCUAGUUGGUAAGCUAACGGCUUACCAAGGCACCGAUGCGUAGCCGACAUGAGAGGGGGAUCGGCCACACUGGAACUGAGACGCGGACCAGGCGCCUACGAGAGGCAGCAGUAGGGAAUGGGACGCAGUGGGCGAAAACCUGACGGAGCAACGCCGAGUGAGUGAUGAAGGUCUUCGGAUCGGAAAACUGGGUUUUUGGGUAAAAACAAAUGUGUAAGUAACUGUGGACGUCUUGACGGUACCUAAUCAGAAAGCCACGGCUAACUACGUG